CCCUCCUGACGAGGACCCUCGUGCGGGACAGCUAAUGUUGCUGCACCGGCACCGGAAGGUGCACGAGUACCGGCAGGAGCAACAGCAUAUAACCACCUAGAAACACACAGACAACUUACAUGUUCCAUUACAUCUGAUAUGAUUCCAAACACACAAGUCCCUCACCCUGCAGCACGUCGGAUGGGAAGAGUGACAUGUUGAGUCAGGGUUUGGGAGGCUAGUGCCACGCCACUCACAGGUCCUCUUCAUGUUUCCUGGGCCACUCGUUCGCCCUCGAUAUCGUCACACGUGAAACCAUAAAAGCAAACAGUUCACUUACAAUACUUAAUUAAGCAAACUGGGUAAUUAUGUACAAAACUAGUUACUAAGAAAAGAACUAAUAAAUACCGUACACAAAUUCUGGCAAACCAAGUAUACGCUGUACCAAAGGGAUUAAAUACACACAGCAAGAAAAAUAAUGAACCGUAAACAUGAGCUAAAUAUAAUGACAAGGACCCUUCACUCACACACCAAACCUUUCAAAUGGUGCUCUCCAUUCUUCACCUUAAGAAACAAAUAUCACCAUCCCCACAGUGCAUAAUGUAGCGCGUGUUUAAAUAAAGAGAAUAUAUUA